GGUCCCACCCAAAAGGCUGCCAAGCCCUCUCCCUACCCAAAAGAGGCUACAGCACUGAGGGAGCCCACCAAUCAAAUUGUGAAAUUUAUAGCAAAAGUGAGGUUCCCAUCCAGUGGGGAGCUGAAGGUCUAUAGGAAGCAGGGCCCCAGAAACCUGCCUCCCACUCCCUGCCUCCACCCGAGCAGGCAGUCAGAGCCCCAUCACCCCAGAGGAGCCCGGCACAAACCUCCCUCCUGGGGUAGCUCCUCGGGGCCAGGGCUGGGGGGUGGGGGCAGUGGCCACUCCAGGGUUUCUGAGGGAGCCAGAAUGGGGGGCCUCUUCCCUGACGGGGGCUUCUUGGUGGCCUUGGGUGGCUUCUCCUUGGGCUUCUUGGUGGCCUUGGGUGGCUUCUCCUUCCCCUUCUUGGGCGGCCUGGGGGACC
rnacentral:lncRNA from 1 species